GAUGAACGCUGGCGGCGUGCCUAAUACAUGCAAGUCGAGCGAACGGACGAGAAGCUUGCUUCUCUGAUGUUAGCGGCGGACGGGUGAGUAACACGUGGAUAACCUUCCUAUAAGACUGGGAUAACUUCGGGAAACCGGAGCUAAUACCGGAUAAUAUUUUGAACCGCAUGGUUCAAAAGUGAAAGACGGUCUUGCUGAUACUUAUAGAUGGAUCCGCGCUGCAUUAGCUAGUUGGUAAGGUAACGCCUUACCAAGGCAACGAUGCAUAGACGACCUGAGAGACUGGUCGGCGACCUUGGAACGUGAACACGGCCCCGGGGACUGAGAGAGGCAGCAGUAGCGAACCGGAGGCAACAGGCGAGAACAUGACGGAGCGACGGCGCGUGUGAGAUGGAGGUCUUCGGAUCGUAAAGACGUGUUACUAGGUGUGAACAUAUGUGAAAAUAGAAGUGCACAAAUUGACGGUACCUAAACAGAAAGCCACGGCUAACUACGUG
rnacentral:rRNA from 1 species